AUCAGGCGCCCGUUCUGCGGGGACUGCACCAAGCUCUAGCGGGGUUGAUGCAUGUAAACUGCAUAGUGGGAAUCUGACUGUUGGAAGUGUUGAAGAGAAAGGUGUGGCAGACCAAAUCCCAGUUUAUGAUGCAACACCAGGCACAAGUGGCUCUUCCCGACGGACGCCAGCAACAUGCUGUCCAGAUGUAAUUCCUGGAGUAAGGGAUGCCGUCCAACUUGGAGGAACAUUGACAAAAGGAACAAGACUUAAGAAAGGUGCAAGCAAAACAAGUAUGAACAAGAGGAAAAAUAUCUCAGAUUCUAUUACUGGGAGCAAGAGGAGAGUAAUAUCCAAGAAAAUAGUACAUAAGAUACGCAUUGACUCAAGUGAGAACUCUAAACACUGUGAUUCAGUCGAGGAGAACUUGCAGUCUAUUAUCCCUCUACAUACUGAGGCAGUGACGCCAAUCAAAAGGAACGUUUACCAACGGCAAAUCCCUCCUUCUCCUUUUGAUCUUAACUUGACACAAAGGACCAUUAGCAUUUCUCUGAUUGAAAAAAGAUACGAGUACUUUCAGGAAGAUGUUUCUGAGGACCUAAGCAGAACUUGGUUUCACCAUGAAGAUCCUUGGGCAGUCAGACUCACAGGGGUGGAGCUAAAGAGUGCAUUUGUAAAACCUGGGAAUAUAAGCACAAAUAUAUUUGAUGCAAUUAUUAGACUACUUCAAGAAGAAGACACAACCAUGUAUAAGCUCCGCGGGUGUGAUCAACAACAAUGGCGGCACCUGUUGCCUCCAAGUUUCUCUGUGUGUGUACCCGCACAACAAUUACAACAUCAUUAAUGUACCAGGCAAUA